GGAGCCAGACAGGCCAGGAGCGACCUGAAGAGCUGCAGCUGGGUGGUUGCUCCGGGACUAGAGCAGGGCCUGGGGCCUGCACCUUGGUGAGCAGCGAUUGUUUCUCUUAUGUCAUCGGCAGACACUACAUCAUAUGGUAAAUGCUCAGGGUUUACUAGUACCAGUGUUUGAGGCAGGGUCUACUGUGUAGCCCAGGCUGGCCUUGAAUUUGCAGCAGUCCUCCUGCCUCAGCCUUCUGAGUGCUGGGAUUACAGGGGGUUGUGCUGGAAUCUCUGUAGCCCAGUAACCUUCCUGCCUGCCUGGACCCUGGGGCACUUUGAGCCUCACCUCCUGGGCAUCUUCGGAAUCCUUGCGGGGGGUCGCCUCUUCUCUCUCUGUUGUUUGCUGUGCUGUCAGGCAUGGAUUGUAAAUCCAUCUGUGAAGAACACAGACGCUGAGGGCCCCAUGCUGCUGAUUCUCCCUGAAGAUUGGGUCCUGGGUCCAGCCCAGAGGCUCUGCCCAGAAGCCGUCCAGAGCCUUUGAGCUGAGCGUCGCUUGGAUUAUUCAUGCAUGUCCUGCUAUCACCCAUGUCACCUCUCUACAGAUAUAAUCGCUGUGGCUGCUCCUCCUCUUUCUUGGCCAGUGCUGUCAUCUGAAUGAGAGUGUCCCACAGAAACGCUGAGGCAUUGUCCGCGAUGUAAUGGGGCAGAGGGGUGGAAAGACCUUUAUGAAGUAAUUGAGUCAUAAGGACUCCACCCUCCCGGAAGGAUUAAUGAGCUCUGAUGGGACUGUUUAUCACAAGAGCAGGUUGUUAGAAAGGGGCCCUGGCCCUGCUCCUUACUCUGCCUCACAUGGGACUUUUCCAAGUGCUCACCUCUCCCAUGGAUAAGAUGCUGUGGAAGGCCCUCACCAGAGCCGACCGGAUGUAGCUGCCUGAUCUUGAAUACAGUCAUGAGCCCAAAUCAACAUCUUUCCUCUGUGGAUUGCCCGGCUGUGGGUAUUUCGGCCUGAUAACAGGAAACAGGUGAGGACAGCCAGCACCGGGGGCGUGCUGUCCUCCCACCUGCCCAGCCCAGGGUGAAGAAAGCAUGUUCCCCUUCUUCAAGUGCCUCGUCCUGCUUGGUUCCUGGAGUUACUGGCUCAAGAGAGCCGGGGAGGGUGGGACUGGCCGUCCUGAAAUAGCGUCUGUCAUUGUCAGUACCACUGUCUUUAAAAGCAGGCCCGGGCGGACAGUGCUGUGCUAACUGCCUGGCAGGGGCAAUUCCCCGAGGCCGUUUCCUGCGCUCUCCUUGAGCCUUGAUGGGGAUAUUCUGGGUGCAUGUGAACGCCUGCCCAGGGAAGCGGGAGACACUGAUCUUACAGAAAGGGCCUCCUCGUACAGAGGAUGUGUAGCCUCCAUGUGCUUAACCUACCUGCAGGCUCGGCUGGGCC